rnacentral:rRNA from 1 species
AUCUUUCGAAGCCAGUGUGAGGGAGCGGCGAACGGGUGAGUAACACGUUGGAACCUACCCCAGACUCAGGGAUAGCCCACCGAAAGGUGGAUUAAUACCGGAUAGUCUCGUAAGAGUAAAGCUUUUGCGGUUUGGGAGGGGCCUGCGGCCUAUCAGCUUGUUGGUGGUGUAAUAGACUACCAAGGCUAUGACGGGUAUCUGGUGUGAGAGCAUGACCAGACACAAUGGAACUGAGACACGGUCCAUACUCC